rnacentral:rRNA from 1 species
GGCCCUUUAUUUGACGGUAAUCAACCCAGAAAAGUCACGGCUAACUACGUGCCCAGCAGCCGCGGUAAUACGUAGGUGGCAAGCGUUGUCCGGAUUUAUUGGGCGUAAAGCGAGCGCAGGCGGAAGAAUAAGUCUGAUGUGAAAGCCCUCGGCUUAACCGAGGAACUGCAUCGGAAACUGUUUUUCUUGAGUGCAGAAGAGGAGAGUGGAACCUCAUGUGUAGCGGUGGAAUGCGUAGAUAUAUGGAAGAACACCAGUGGCGAAGGCGACUCUCUGGUCUGCAACUGACGCUGAGGCUCGAAAGCAUGGGUAGCGAACAGGAUUAGAUACCCUGGUAGUCCAUGCCGUAAACGAUGAGUGCUAAGUGUUGGGAGGUUUCCGCCUCUCAGUGCUGCAGCUAACGCAUUAAGCACUCCGCCUGGGGAGUACGACCGCAAGGUUGAAACUCAAAGGAAUUGACGGGGGCCCGCACAAGCGGUGGAGCAUGUGGUUUAAUUCGAAGCAACGCGAAGAACCUUACCAGGUCUUGACAUCUAGUGCCAUCCUAAGAGAUUAGGAGUUCCCUUCGGGGACGCUAAGACAGGUGGUGCAUGGCUGUCGUCAGCUCGUGUCGUGAGAUGUUGGGUUAAGUCCCGCAACGAGCGCAACCCUUGUUAUUAGUUGCCAGCAUUAAGUUGGGCACUCUAAUGAGACUGCCGGUGAUAAACCGGAGGAAGGUGGGGAUGACGUCAAGUCAUCAUGCCCCUUAUGACCUGGGCUACACACGUGCUACAAUGGACAGUACAACGAGAAGCGAGCCUGCGAAGGCAAGCGAAUCUCUGAAAGCUGUUCUCAGUUCGGACUGCAGUCUGCAACUCGACUGCACGAAGCUGGAAUCGCUAGUAAUCGCGGAUCAGAACGCCGCGGUGAAUACGUUCCCGGGCCUUGUACACACCGCCCGUCACACCAUGGAAGUCUGCAAUGCCCAAAGCCGGUGGCCUAACCUUCGGGAAGGAGCCGUCUAAGGCAGGGCAGAUGACUGGGGUGAAGUCGAACCAA